rnacentral:rRNA from 1 species
UUAGACGGGACCCGCACAAGCGGUGGAUGAUGUGGAUUAAUUCGAUGCAACGCGAAAACCUUACCUACCCUUGACAUGUCCGGAAUCCCGAAGAGAUUUGGGAGUGCUCGCAAGAGAGCCGGAACACAGGUGCUGCAUGGCUGUCGUCAGCUCGUGUCGUGAGAUGUUGGGUUAAGUCCCGCAACGAGCGCAACCCUUGUCAUUAGUUGCCAUCAUUUGGUUGGGCACUCUAAUGAGACUGCCGGUGACAAACCGGAGGAAGGUGGGGAUGACGUCAAGUCCUCAUGGCCCUUAUGGGUAGGGCUUCACACGUCAUACAAUGGUCGGUACAGAGGGUUGCCAACCCGCGAGGGGGAGCUAAUCCCACAAAGCCGAUCGUAGUCCGGAUCGCAGUCUGCAACUCGACUGCGUGAAGUCGGAAUCGCUAGUAAUCGUGGAUCAGCAUGUCACGGUGAAUACGUUCCCGGGUCUU